UGGCUCAGUCGGUAGAGCAUGAGACUCUUCAUCUCAAGUUUGUGGGUUCAAGUCUCAU
rnacentral:tRNA from 1 species